UCAAAGGAUUAAUUUGAGGGUAAAGGAGCAUGCCAAAGCUAGGAAAUUAUUCAAAACGCGCAUUUUAAGGCUUAGCACGCAUUACGAGGCUAAAUUGACUUUUCGCAUAAGCCAGGGACUGCUGCGAAGGCAAGGAUGUGGCCGGUUGAGGGCCAAUGGUGCUUAGUUUGUUAGUCGUUGUAACGUUUGGAGGCUUUAGUAUGUAUUUCAGGUUGUAAAUGAACAGUUGUAUAAUAGCGAUUUUAUCAUUUGAUCUGUAUUAAGUAUUUUGCUAUGGAAAUACAAUGGUGUUUUGGUAUUA